rnacentral:lncRNA from 10 species
GCCCCUCCUGCUCCCGGCUUUCAUGUGGAUCAAGGCUGGAGGAUGACAAGCUCCUGACUGAUAGAUACAUGGAGACUUCGCUGGUGAUUUAUUGGCUUUCUGCACCUGACGAGAACCACUAGGCCUAUCUGAGGAGGGAAAUAUAUGGGCUUUCCUGACUCCAAGUGGCAGCCCCGGGGCGAGCAUGUGAUGUCAAGCUGGGCAGAGGAAAGCGGAGCUGUGCACCGGCCUGUGUACUGUAAGCCGGCCCGGGUCGUAAAAGUGUCAGCACGCGAUAUAUUUCUUGCAGGGGAUCCUCUCUGGCUCUUGCCAGCGCCUCUCCCCCGUGGCUGGCAGCCGCCCUAGCCGGGCCUGCAAACAGCGGAUGCCCCAGGUCGCUAUCCCUCCGCCCUGCCCCGGAGCGCCGGGCCCUCACGUUCUCGCUCCAGCCUGGGGUCUCUCACGUGGCAUCUGGCCCUGGGGACGGUGCAGCGGAGGAGUUAAUUGCUGUCACUCCUGACUUCAGCGAAAGAGGUCGAUCGUGGGGUGAGAUAUUGAAGCUGGGGAUUGACCUGUGGACCAAGAGUUUGAUGGGGCAACUCAAUAGCAAACUCAAUGUUCCCAGAGAUGAACCAACUCAUUUCUCCUCCCUCUACCUCCAGGCUUCUUCCUCGGGGUUAGCAGGGGCCUGGAGUGGAUGUUUAGUCUACCGGUCAGACUCCAGGUCUUAUAUCUUGAAACUGUAAGUCCCUGAAUUCACAGACAAUUCAGAGUAAGGAUGGAGGCAAAGAAGAGGACCUUGGGUUUACUGUUCACGAGAUGACCUCAUAAAGGUGUUCAGUGAUGAAGAGGAGUGGCUGAAGAGGUAAGGAGAACACUCAAAGCAACAACAGCAAAACGUACAGUAUGAAGGGGGUAGUCAUAAGGUCAGUCCAUAACCCUGCCAGCAUCAUCCAGAUAGAAGUGGAUCUGCUAUCCCUCCCCACACCUGACUUCACUACCUGCACACCCACAAGCAGGGCAGCACUAGCCCCCAGUGCUCUUCUGUGCAUAUUAGAGUCUUCCCUGGAGGGCUCAGUACCUUGCUGGGACUCAUGGCAUGGGGAGCAGAACCCAGGCUGAAUUUCAGUCCCUACAAGGUUUUAAGUACAGGGAUCAGCCUGCACAACCGAAUGGGAGGCCCGGCCCUCAUCUGCCCUUCUGUAACUUGUCUUUCCCUGCCAGGCCUCCCUCGGAGCUCAUUGUUGAAAUCUGGCAUCCAGAGCUAUGGAUUCCCCGCUCUGCCAUUUACAAACUGUAUGAUUAGGGCUCAUCAGUUCAUCUCUCUGAGUUACUUUCUUUUCUGAAAUGGAGGUAGGGCUACUUCUCUCACAUGGCUUUAUGAGGGUGAAGUGGUUUCCAAUGAGCACUCAUCUGGAUAUUCUAGGCCCAUCCACUCACAUAGCUAAUGACACUCCUUCUUUACAAGAUGAAGGAUUAGGAGAUGAUUUUAAAUCUUUUAGCUGGAAGGGCCUUUAAGAGAUACCUGUGUCUGUCUUGGGCCUUAGAGUGAGUAAAGGGACAGCAGGUGGUCAGGCCCUGCCAACAGCAGGAUAUUUUCUGCAGGUGCCCAACAGCAGCCCUGGAGUUGCCUCAGAUCCUCCCACUGGAGGCUUCAUUGCUGUAUCUGCCAUUCCAUCCCUGGCAGGGAUAGGCCAAGGUCUUAGAUACCCUGGCACCCAACACUCCAUACAGGCUUGUCUCUGAGCAGACUCUCGGUGAAGGCUAUUGUGCUAGUCUGAGCAGAACGGGAGGUGCAGGGAUUGCAGCUGUUCCUUCACUGCAGUGUCAGUUUGGAAAUUUUCCCAGAAGACUUAGCUGGUGCCUCUUCUUUGAUAUUCAUGAGUGUGUGAACACAACGACCCUCCUCAUCUUUGUCGAACCCAUUCCUCUUGGACCACACCAAGUAUAGUCCAAAAAGAAGGUGAUUUAGGAGAAGUGUGAAGGCACCCUCAGUUCUGGCAAAUUCUUGGGUAUCCUGCAAUUCUCACUCAGCAGCAUCCCAACAAAACCAGAGAAAAGACCCGGGGCCGGGAGAUGAGCCAGGAAAAUAGCUUCAUGUUUGACUUGAGGGUACAGGCAUCUGCAGAAGCCAGCCUGGAAGACUCUUCAUGAGCCCAGCUGCAAGGGGCAUCCUAGAGCCAGUUCAUGAGCCCAACUUUACAGAGGCAUCAAGCUUCCCCUCCCCUAGAAAGGAAGGCUAUAGAGCAAGCAGAAUGUUUAAGACACAGGCUUUCAAGUGAGGCUGACUUGGAUUAGCGGAACUAAGGAUGACGUGGCCCUGUGCAAGGAACUUAAUAUCUCUGGGCUUCAUUCUUUAUCUGUUUACCUACCCCCAGGUCCUGAAAGUACCACAGAAAUAUCUGUUUUUAUUCAGAGGAUAAUAAAACAGAAUAUUUACAUAUUGCUUCAUAUUCCCCCAGGAUAUUUUUAGAUUACCACAAUAUCCUAAGAGUUUGUUUAUGCAUGCUUUAUAGACCUGUAUCUGUGGUUAAAAAAGAUACAUAAAUACUUUAAAAUUUUAUAAUACAAGAGUAUAAGUUACCUGAUUUUUUAUGUGUUCCGCAGAUGGCUGUCUAGAGUCAACACAAACCUACCCCAAAGUUUGACCUUUGCCUUAAGUCAGUAACUGAGGAGGGCCACGGUCCUGAGUUCAGUCCAGACCCCAGGAAGAUUCAGAGCCUGCAGUUGUCCUCUGGUUUCUAAAGCCUGUCUUCGGAAAGGUCACUGAACAGAAGGAGGAGGCACCUUACUCUCUUUUGUUACGUCUUCACCACUUUUGUCUAAAGGGAAGUUUAGCUGGAGGGCUGAGCACGCAGACAGGUUUCUGACUGUGCCACAUAGAUCCCACAUUGCUUCUCUGCCAUGAUUUAUCAUCUGUGACUUGACAUGUUCUGCACACACGGGCAUGUUGUACACAUUGAGACAUGCUUCCUGCAUUCAAAGAUUUUCCCAUAUUGAGGGCAUUUUCCUGGUGCAGAAUUGAAGACUGAAUUGAGGCAUUCAGAUUGACCUCAACAUCUACGGGUCUGGAGGAGGUUUGGGACGUUUCCUUUUCUUCUCUUCAGGGGCCCACUCCUGUUGUAAAGAGCAGCAGCAUUUAUAAUGAGGGCCCAGGAAAUGCGGGGGAGAGGGGAGAGCCUGCUAUCUCUGCAGUGGGUGACUGUUGUUUCCCUGAUCAACAAUGUAUCAUAUCCCAGCCUAAGCCUGCCUUUCUCCUUCCCCCUCCACAUGGGGAGGGGCCGUGGGCUCAGAGCUCACCUGGAAUGCCUCUGGUUGCUGAAGGGCUGGAUGGAGACUCUGAGACAACCUGAUGGAUCAUCUCAUAAACAGAGCCUGCAGGAAGGAAAAGAAAAUUAUGCCAGCAUAAUGCACUUACGAGAAAUAGAUACGUGCGGUGCAGGGAGAAAUGCUUUGAUAUUAAAAUUUUUGUAACUUAAAAAGGCAUGAAAAAUGAUACCGACCACUAACUAAUCAACAUUCCUUUGCGAAUACAGCUUCAGUUCCUAACCAAAAACACAUCCCUGCUAUUGUCUUGUCUGGAUCCAGAUGCAAACAUGAUUAAUUAAGUUUCUGGUGAGGAGUGGGACGAGGGCAGUGGGAACUGAUGGCUUGCUGAGGAUCCUUUUCAUAUACAGGCCUGGGGAGAAUCCCUUAGUCUGGGUGCCUAUUUCCCUCCACAUGUCAGGGCUUACCCCGUGCACUGACAGCCACGGGGGCAGUGAGUAGGCUGCAGCCAGACCCAUGGAGUGAGGCAGUGAGAGGCUGAAAGGAGAGGCUCUACAGACAGUACAGGGAGGCUCUUGGUAUCUCCCAUUGCCACUGCACAGCACAGCACGGCAGAGUAGCAAACGCAUAUGCCAUGUCUUGUUGGGAGACCUGGGCCCUGCUCCAGACUGCUACCAAGUAGUUUGGGACCUUGGAUGAGCUGCCUCAAUUUCUCCAUUUGUGAAAUUGGGAGGUGACAGCGUGCUGGCAGCCCUCGCAGCCCUCGCUCUCGGCCUUGGUGCCUGCCUACUCUGGCCGCCCUUGAGGAGCCCUUCGGCCCACGGCUGCACUGUGGGAGCCCCUUUCUGGGCUGGCCAAGGCUGGAGCCAGCUCCCUCAGCUUGCCGGGAGGUGUGGAGGGAGAAGCGCGGGCAGGAACCAGGGCUGCUCAUGGGGCUUGCCGGCCAGCGCGAGUUCUGGGUGGGCAUGGGCUCAGUGCCUGCGCACUCUGAGCGGCCGGCAGGCCUGCGAACCCCGGGCAGUGAGGGGCUUAGCUCCUGGGCCAGCAGCUGCUGUGCUCAAUUUCUCGCCGGGCCUUAGCUGCCUCCCCGCGGGGCAGGGCUCGGGACCUGCAGCCCACCAUGCCUGAGCCUCCUCCCGCCGUGGGCUCCUGUGUGGCUGGAGCCUCCCCGAGGAGCACCGCCCCCUGCUCCACCGCUCCCAGUCCCUCAACCACCCAAGGGCUGAGGAGUGCGGGCGCAUGGCACGGGACUGGCAGGCAGCUCCACCUGCGGCACCGGUACCGGAUCCACUGGGUGAAGCCAGCUGGGCUCCUGAGUCUGGUGGGGACUUGGAGAACCUUGGUGUAGACACUCUGUAUCUAGCUAAUCUAGUGGGGAUGUGGAGAACUUUUGUGUCUAGCUAAGGGAUUGUAAAUACACCAGUCGGCACUCUGUAUCUAGCUCAAGGUUUGUAAACACACCAAUCAGCACCCUGUGUCUAGCUCAGGGUUUGUGAAUGCACCAAUGGACACUCUGUAUCUGGCUACUCUGAUGGGGACUAGGAGAACCUUUGUGUCUAGCUCAGGGAUUGUAAACGCACCAAUCAGCACCCUGUCAAAACGGACCAUUCAGCUCUCUGUAAAACAGACCAAUCGGCUCUCUGUAAAAUGGACCAAUCAGCAGGAUGUGGGUGGGGCCAGAUAAGAGAAUAAAAGCAGGCUGCCCCAGCCAGCAGGCACAACCCUCUCGCCUCACCUGCCGCAGUGUGGAAGUUUUGUUCUUUGGCUCUUUGCAAAAAAUGUUGCUGCUGUUCACUCAUUGGGUCUACACUACCUUUAUGAGCUGUAACACUCACUGGGAAGGUCUGCAGCUUCACUCCUGAAGCCAGCGAGACCACGAACCCACCGGGAGGAACAAACAAUUCCAGACGCGCCGCCUUAAGAGCUGUAGCAGUCACGGCCGGGCACGGUGGCUCACGCCUGUAAUCCCAGCACUUUGGGAGGCCGAGACGGGCGGAUCACGAGGUCAGGAGAUCGAGACCAUCCUGGCUAACACGGUGAAACCCCGUCUCUACUAAAAAUACAAAAAAAAUUAGCUGGGCAUGGUGGCGCACGCCUGUAGUCCCAGCUACACGGGAGGCUGAGGCAGGAGAAUGGCGUGAACCCGGGAGGCGGAGCUUGCAGUGAGUCGAGAUCGCGCCACUGCACUUCAGCCUGGGCGACAGAGCGAAACUCCGUCUCAAAAAAAAAAAAAAAAAAGAGCUGUAGCAGUCACAGCAAAGGUAUGCAGCUUCACUCCUGAGUCAGCGAGACCAGGAACCCACCACAAGGAAGAAACUCCGAACACAUCCGAACAUCAGAAGGAACAAAUUCUGGACACGCUGCCUUUAAGAACUGUAACACUCAGCGCGAGGGUCCCCUGCUUCAUUCUUGAAGUCAGUGAGACCAAGAACCCACCAAUUCCAGACACAAAAGGAGAGGUUGGAUUAAAUGUUCCUCAAAGUCUUCCAUUUCUGGCUUUUUAUUCCAGUGCCCAAAGUCCUUCACACAAAGCA